ACUUCAGCCACAGGAGCUCCUGCAUGGGCACAGGCUCCGGCCAGGCCGUGUCUCUGGCUGGUUUGGUCGGGCAAAUCAGUGACCCUCGUUUCUCCUGCAAAAUGCCGAGGAGACUGAUGGAAGCAGGCAAGUUCCCACCAAUGGCCUCCUGCAGGACUGAAGGAACACAGACAGCAGGUGCAGGACGACAACCCCUUUUCUCCACCUCCGCUCAAGCCAAGCCUUCCCGGCAACUUGCAGCUCCUCUUCUCCAACCUGAGGCCAGUACCAGCUCUCAGAGGCUUGUCCCCACAAGCCCUUCCUGCCACCGGAAGCCCCCCACCCCCGAACGCGGCUCUCACACCAAAGGUGACCCGGGAACGGAUGGGUACUUCAUCCCCGCAGUUUCUGACACGGCGCCACCGUCUUUCAACUUCCCCUACCAACGGGGUCAAGUUGUCGGCCAGCCUGGACUGCCGGCCGUUAGCCUGACACCAGGAGCAGCCUCAAAACAAAUUAAAUGAGGCAGGGAGGCCGAGUGGUGAUCAUUCCAUUACGGCCCCUCUGCUUCCUCUCCGCACAUGACCCACGCCAUCCUUUUUAGAAGGUGAGGCGUCUUAUUGAAUCAGCACUUAAUCUACUCGCAGCGCCAUGGAGGAGGGGCAAGGGGACAGGUCCCCUGAUCCUUUUAUUUUUCUGAGGACCUCGCUUGGAGACAGCCUGGGUAGGGGGGAGGAUGAAUUGUGAGGAACCUUGACCCUGUUUCAGAGGCCUGAAAGAUGGCGAUUAAUUUUAUCCCGUUUCCUGCCAUUCACCCUCAAAACUGAAAUGUGCAUCAGGACCUGCUUCACGGCCUUGGGUUUUUCUGCUUGUUACAAACCUUGAGACUAGACCCCUCCAGACGGUUACCGCUGAGGGCUCCGGAGCCUUAAAAGCAGAGAAGAAAACACUCCUUUAUCUGCAAGCGUCUCCUUUUCUUCUACUGCCACUGCGACUGCGGCUGUGGGGAUGUGCUUUACAGAGUGAGCGUAAAUGAGAAAACACUCAGUUAGCUUCUGACGGCCAGUGCUGGAUGUAUCAGUUUGCCCUAUAAAUAAGCACUGAUCACCUCCAUUUUAUUGAACUCAUUUUCCAGGCAAGCAAAGACCACAAGAUUCUUCUGCACAUUUUCUCUUUACACCCUCUAGUACCGCUGCUAGCGUCAACUCCGACAGAUUUAUAGCCCAUUCAUUCAUGGGAACAAAAACCCUGCCACGGCUGGUCAUGGGACACGCAAUAGCAGUUAGUUCAAAAGAUAACAGCUGCAAUACCUCACCUCCCCAUUCAGCACUACAGAGCCGGCACUACUUUGGAGAUGUCUGCUGACCUGACCCGCAGAGCAAAAACAAAAACACAUCUACAUUCCUGGGCUGGAGAGAUUUGGUUCAAACGAUGUACAAAUGGGUCAUGAUGAAAAGUGAUUCUAGCAACUGGCCAAGUGUCCCAAAGAAUCCUUUGCAUUCAGUAGUUGGGUUGGCAGCAGGAGGAAAGGUAGUGCUCAUCCCAUGCAGAGAGUCUCCUAGCUUGAAGGAGGGAAGGAAUUGAGACGAGACUGAACUGUGAGGGAGUGACAGGUGGGCAGACAGCUGGGGAGAAGGAACCAGCACCCAGGAGCCGGUGAGCACACCCUGCAUCCUCAGAUACACAGCCUGGGCAAACACCUGUGGCCACAGAGGAUGGCUCUGCACCGGGACACAUAAUAUGACCAGCACGGAAACCCAGCCGGGAGGGUGGGUUGUGCUGCCCUGUUUCCCUGCCUCCCUUCUGCACGGCACCUGCAUACAUGAGACCUACAGGAAGUAUCUGUGGCAUCGACCAUGAACUCGGGGGAGAGGCGUCUGAGCUGGAGGGGCAAGUGGGUGGAGUGGGAUCCGCCAGGUGCAGGCCCCUGAGGCCAAAAUGAGAUGGCUGAGAAGGUAAGCCGGAGAGGGGGGAGGAGACAGGGAGAAGUUUCAGGGAACUGCACGUGGACAGCGUGUCUGCAGGGCAUUGCUAUGGCAAAAAAACGCCAGGGACCCUGAGAAGGUCACCUGACCCUCUCAGGUAGAUUGACAAGGGCUGUUAAGGAGUUUGGGCUUUAUGCUCAAGGAAAUUAGGCGCUGUUUUAAGCAAGGGAGGGACAUGACCCAAUUUGCCCUCUGGAAAUAUCAGUGUGGCAGCAGUGAGGGAAAGGAGUGGAAGGGCUAGAAUGGGAACAGAAUGGAGGACAGAACAGGGGCUGGGAGGCAGCAUAAGCCCCCGCCCCCAUGGCCCCCCAACAACUGGGACGUCCCCAGUGCUGGAGCAAGUCCUCUGAGGAGAGGGCGGGGGCAAGCCUAGGAAGGAGGGGCAGCGGGCAGGGGUGGCGGAGGCCGCAGGUGUGUUUCCGAAGGACACUGGUGCCGUGUACAGAAGGCGUGCUAAGCUGCUGGUGGGGAAUGGAGGCAGAGGGCAGCUCUAGGAGACAGGACGGAGGCAGACCUCUCCUCGCCCUCUACGUCGGGGCACAGGGUUGUAGGGAGGACACAGGGAGGUCCCUGAGGACCGGCCCAAACACAGAAGCUCCAGGAGGGAACCACUGAAAGAUGAUCCUCCUUUAUCAAAAUCCAGUUUGGCAAGGCUGUGAAGGAUGCCCCACUGUGAGCCCCCAGAGCCCACGUGCAGCUCCCAGCCAGGGACACAAAGGCACGGCUCUGGAGCCAGCACGUGCUCCAGAGACCCCUCCUCCCACACCGGUGCCCAGCACGUGCCUUGUCCCCGACUCAGCUGCAGAUGCAGGGACUCUCCCGGGAUAGGGAAGGGAGCAAGGGGCAGGCUUUGAAUCUUUGCGUGCCGCAAGGAAGAAAAUCAAUUGCAAUGCCCAGAGGAGGGAAUUACUGCAGCAGAAGGUCACCAACUACUACGAGUUGCUGUAUUGUCUUGGAGACUUGGACAGGGGAAAAAUGUCUCAAAGUGAGGUAAGAAUGCUCUGAGGUCUGAUGCAAACCGCUCCCCAAGAAUAACGUGAGACAGUCCCGGGGGACGGGACCACACAAAGGAAGAGGUUUCUUUGUGCACGUACAACCGUGGAGGAAUUCCAGACUCCGGCUCCAGCCACCUCCAGCAAGUUCUCAACUGUAGCUGCGGAGUUCUGACACAUGUUCAAUCUUGGGGAAGCAGGCUGACAUUUUAACAGCUUUGUUACGGUAGCAGCAAAGCCCAUGGCGGUGGCCACUUCACUUGGGUUUGAGAGACACGCCUCACAGCCCAGCCUCCACGCCCUAGAGCUCUCCAGUUAAUGCCAGUUUCCCUGAGCACAAUGCAAGGAUGCUAGGUGUGUGCCUGAGAUGUGACUUCUAGGUCCCCCGCGGCAAAGAUGGGACGACCCUAUCUGUGCCCACGUGCCUUGUCUUUCCUUGGGGCCAGUGCAACAGAGGACAAGCAAAACAGAGGUCAAAUGAAAGGUCACUGGGCUGGACGUUUAAAAUCCCGUUUCUAGGGGCAGAGAUGACAAGACAGCUGGAGCCCACCUUCUUGUCCAGGCGAUGCACAGAUGAGUGAGUGGUCGGCCAGUCUGUGUCCCAGGAUUAUGGAGAAAAGAGAUGUCACAGGUCCUUUGAGGCUGCCACUCCCUGGGCCAUUUGCAUCAAGUCCCAAACCCUUCUGGAUAGUAGGAGGCAGUACCUCAGCCUUGUUUCCUGAUAUUCAAAGUUAGAGAAACCCAUGCAGUAGACUAUGGGGACCCCAGCCAAGACCAAGAGGCCAUGAAAGGCGAGGAAGCUUCUGGGACAAAGACACCUCGAGAAAGUGGGAGUCCGGGCAGGCAAGCGCAGUACACAGUGUGAGUAGGGGACAUCUUGGUGGCUCUCCUCCCUUAUGGCACCUUUUGCCAGGGCUUCUGAGAGAAAACAUCUGUGGACCAGUGCUCCUCCUAGCAGAGGGGCCAGAGUAACCCAGAGGUAACGAGGGAGGGCCGAGCAGGAGCCAGCCUGCAGCUCAGCAACUGCCUGCAAGCCACACCCUCAGGCUGCUCAUAGCCUGGGAAGAAUUAAGAUUAAAUUAAAAACUGGUGAGAUGGCACCAAAAGCACAAUCCGUAAACG